CCUUUCACACAGCUGCUGAUGGAGAAAGCAAGCCAGUGAUCAAAUCUAGAGGAAUAAGAACUUGCAAAGCUUGCAAAGAAUAAGCACUUAGCUCUCAAGAUGGAAACUGGAAAAACUUACUCGAAAUGUGCUCAUUCAUCUCGCCCUUUCAGCUCUCGAAAUCUUCUCUAAAGCCCGCGAAGAUUUGCUUUGCUGCUCGUCAACCCUGCGAAAUACAAAGAAACAACGCAUUAGAGAGACGAUAGAGGUAGUGAUCGAUCGAUGGUUUUUCCAAUCACUGUACGAAAUGAAAUGAGACAGUAAAACUCGUGCACAGGUAAAGGUUAAUGCAUAGAAGGAGAAAGACAACACUCUACCUGGAAGCUAUCCACAGUGCUCCUAUAAUCCACAAUGCUCCACACGGGCAAAAUCUUGUGCUCCAUCGACGCA
rnacentral:lncRNA from 1 species